rnacentral:rRNA from 1 species
GAUGAACGCUGGCGGCGUGCCUAAUACAUGCAAGUCGAGCGAACAGAUGAGGAGCUUGCUCCUCUGACGUUAGCGGCGGACGGGUGAGUAACACGUGGAUAACCUACCUAUAAGACUGGGAUAACUUCGGGAAACCGGAGCUAAUACCGGAUAAUAUAUUGAACCGCAUGGUUCAAUAGUGAAAGACGGUUUUGCUGUCACUUAUAGAUGGAUCCGCGCCGCAUUAGCUAGUUGGUAAGGUAACGGCUUACCAAGGCAACGAUGCGUAUCCGACCUGAGAGGGUGAUCGGCCACACUGGAACUGAGACACGGUCCAGACUCCUACGGGAGGCAGCAGUAGGGAAUCUUCCGCAAUGGGCGAAAGCCUGACGGAGCAACGCCGCGUGAGUGAUGAAGGUCUUCGGAUCGUAAAACUCUGUUAUUAGGGAAGAACAAAUGUGUAAGUAACUAUGCCCGUCUUGACGGUACCUAAUCAGAAAGCCACGGCUAACUACGUG